rnacentral:tRNA from 1 species
AGCCCGGUCGUCUAGCGGCCAAUCUGGUCAGAAGGGCCAUGGAUCUCGGGCUCUGGCCCCGAGGACGCCGGUUCGAAUCCGGCCCGGGCUACCA